GCCGGCGUGCCAGAGCCAGGCUAAUGGGGCGGUCUCGAAAACCGCUGUCCGCAAGGACUUGCAGGUUCAAAUGGCGGGAAGGCCAUGCCUUUCCGCGGUGGAAAUCCUGCCGCCGGCG
rnacentral:tRNA from 1 species